rnacentral:rRNA from 1 species
UACGUAGGGGGCAAGCGUUGUCCGGAUUUAUUGGGCGUAAAGAGCGUGUAGGCGCCAGGUAGGUGGAUUGUGAAAACUGGAGGCUCAACCUUCAGACGUCGACCCAAACCCCCUGGCUAGAGUCCGGAAGAGGAGAGUGGAAUUCCUGGUGUAGCGGUGAAAUGCGCAGAUAUCAGGAAGAACACCAACGGCGAAGGCAGCUCGCUGGGACGGUACUGACGCUGAGACGCGAAAGCGUGGGGAGCGAACAGG